UGCAGUCGAACGAUGAAGCCCAGCUUGCUGGGUGGAUUAGUGGCGAACGGGUGAGUAACACGUGAGCUAACCUGCCCUUAACUCUGGGAUAAGCCUGGGAAACUGGGUCUAAUACCGGAUAGGAGCGCCCACCGCAGGGUGGGUGUUGGAAAGAUUUAUCGGUUUUGGAUGGACUCGCGGCCUAUCAGCUUGUUGGUGAGGUAAUGGCUCACCAAGGCGACGACGGGUAGCCGGCCUGAGAGGGUGACCGGCCACACUGGGACUGACACACCGCCCACACUCCUACGGGAGGCAGCAGUGGGGAAUAUUGCACAAUGGGCGAAAGCCUGAUGCAGCGACGCCGCGUGAGGGAUGACGGCCUUCGGGUUGUAAACCUCUUUCAGUAGGGAAGAAGCGAAAGUGACGGUACCUGCAGAAGAAGCACCGGCUAACUACGUGCCAGCAGCCGCGGUAAUACGUAGGGUGCGAGCGUUAUCCGGAAUUAUUGGGCGUAAAGAGCUCGUAGGCGGUUUGUCGCGUCUGUCGUG
rnacentral:rRNA from 1 species